GAAAAAGUGAGGAAGUACAAUGUCAGAUGAUAUCGCCUGGAAAACGACAGUGCACAGAGAGAAACAAGAUGUACGAGGUUCAUAGAAAAAAUGCGAUUAAAUAACCACACAUGGAGGUUGUAUGAAGAAGAAAUUCACAAAAGAUUCCAAUUAUACAUAUAUAGGAGGUAGCAGACACUUUCUCACUACAUACUAUUGUGGACUUCUCAAAUGGAAAAUGACAGGCAUAUAUAUUAGACAGAAUUGAGGCACCAACAUGCAAAUUGUACAGUUGUUCUGGGCAACAAUUUCUUCCUAUGAUAAUAACCCCGGAUGUGGGCUCUUGCUGUAAACGACAUCACAAGACCAUCAAGCACUUUCAAGUCCAGCCGAAGUAGAGUGAAAGAAAAUCAUUUCUGAGAGUUAUGAAAGGUCAUGAGUGAGGAAAUGCAUUCCAGGUACUCCAGAAGGUGUUUGGACACACACGGUGAAUGACACAUGAAGAUGGAGGCAGAGAUCGGAAUGAUGUGUCUACAAGCGAUGGUCCACCAAAGAUGAUCAGCAAACCACCGGAAGCUGGGAUAGAGGCCUGGAACAGAGCCUCCCUCACAUCCCUCAGAAGGAACCAACCCUGCCAACACCUUAAUCUCACACUUCUAGCCUACAGAAUUCUGAGACAACACAUUUCUGUUGUGUACACAGAGACACAUAUUAAAUAAACCUGCUACAAGA
rnacentral:lncRNA from 1 species